rnacentral:rRNA from 1 species
AUGGUGACCGACGCGGCCGCGAUGGCGGUCGUGAAGGCCGCGCGCCCCGUCUUCCGCGGCGCCCACGACGGCGUGGCGUUCGCCGCAAACGCCGCGUUCCUCGCCGCGGGAUACUCGCUCUGCGCCGUCGGCCCUGCCGCGCUCACCGACCCCCUUCCCGCAGUUGACGAGGAGGUGGGAAUUGAUGGGUGGAACACUAUGGACAAUUGCUAUGCCUUUCUGUACUCCAAGGAGGAGGAGGGCAAGAAGAAGCGCAUUUUAGUGAAAUGUCUAGUGAUUGAUGACUUCCUUGCUAUUGAUGCGCUGGAUCUUGAGGCACAACACAAGGAACCCUGCAAUGUCCAGAUAAAUGUGAAGGAUUUCUUCUCUGAAGAACAGCCCAAGAAUUAUAAGGAUAUGUACAAGAAUUUUGCGGGCUUCAUCAAUACCCUUAACUCAAGCUUGUUAGUUGAAUUGGAUGGUAAGAAUGCUGCUGCUGCUGCCGCCCAGAAUGUUAUGAGCAGUUCAUCAAUAAACAGUUCUGAAAAUGUUCUGCGGGAUACAAGGACUACUGAACCUGCUGGCCUGAUAUAUCCUCCAGUAGCUCUGUUUGGUCAUGAUGACACCUUCCCUGCUCCUGGUGCAGGCUUCUACCCUCACAGUGGUGGGCCGGGUGGUAGUAUGCACGUUGGCCCAAAUGAUCCACGCUUCUUUCCUUCAAAUCCUUCUCCUGCUCCUUUUGGUGGCCCUGGGAGUGUUCCACCUGGUGGCCGUUACGAUCCGAUCGGCCCGCCCGAUGUUCCAGGAUUUGAACCAUCUCGCUUUGUGAGGCGUUCGAGGCAUCCAGGUGGAAGCACUCACCCAGACCUCGAGUUCUUCCAACAAGGCCCAGACUUCUGA